rnacentral:tRNA from 1 species
GGGGACUUAGCUCAGUGGUAGAGCGCUUGCCUAGGAAGCGCAAGGCCCUGGGUUCAAUCCCCAGCUCCG